UACGAAGGUCCCAAGCGUUAUCCGGAUUUAUUGGGUUUAAAGGGUGCGUAGGCGGACUAUUAAGUCAGUGGUGAAAGCUCUCGGCCUAACCGAGAAAUUGCCAUUGAUACUGAUGGUCUUGAGUACAUUUGAGGCGGGCGGAAUGUGUCAUGUAGCGGUGAAAUGCUUAGAUAUGACACAGAACACCGAUUGCGUAGGCAGCUCGCUAAACUGUAACUGACGCUGAGGCACGAAAGCGUGGGGAGCAAACAGG
rnacentral:rRNA from 1 species